AUUGAGUUACAAAUGUCAUUCAAUAACAAACUAUUUUUUUGGAAACAAUGGAAAAUCAAAUUAGAAUACAGGUAAUCCUUCUAUAACGCGGUAUUUUACAACACGGUUCCACUCUAAUAUGAAAAGAAAAAAUGUCAAAAACCAUCUUACAAUAUGGUACUUCUACAACAAGAUAACGAGAUUUUUGUUUAAAACUAUUUAGAAAAUUACAUUAUGCACUAUAAAGACGCAAUAUAUGGGAAUAGCCGAAAAUUUUCCGCGAAUUUUUUAUAUAAUAGGUACAAAAAAAAAAACAUACAGACAUAAUUGAGAUGUUUCAUCUUCGAUCAACAAUAGUAAAUAGAUUUCGGGUCGGUGCAGAAAAUCCGUCUCGUCAAAUAACAGCUCACUUGAAAUGUGAGCUGUUAUUUUGUUUAGUUCUCUUCAAACACAGCCAAUGUCAACCCGUCUCACAAUACCGCAAUGUGUAUUCAAAAGUUGCAAAAAUAAUGCCCGAAAAAGCAAUUUAACGGCCGGAGUAUCUUACUUUCGCUUUCCUAGCAAUCACGUGUGCAGAAUGGAUCUCGAUUGUCGCCAGAGAAACAAGAGAUGACUUUUAUAAGCCAGCUAAGAUCUCCGCUUUGACACUGGACAUCUUUGCCUUCCGUGCUCACGGCUACUGAAACGUGGCCGAAACAUUGUAAUAAAAAAAAAAGUGUGUGUGUCCGCUCCGACGCACGACUGGAGUUUACUGGAUAUAAAAAAUUAAACGAAACAAUACGAGAAAUAGUUCUAUAUUACGACAACACGAUACACUACAGAUUAUUAACAAAUUAACGAGACACAAAACAAACGACUAACAAAUAUAUGAAAAUACAAUAAUGAGAGAAACGCGCGAUCAGUACGAGGCUUUGUGGCGGACUGCCGGCGCAGCAGCCCGGCGUCACCUGCGAUAACGCAUUUCGUGUGACAUGCGCAAUCAGGCGCAUAACGCAUUUCGUGUGACAUGCUAGUACGAUUUUGGUCCCCAUAAUUUUCAUACCCCGGGCCUAUAUAUGUAAAUCGAUUCUAAAGGAGUAAACUCCAAAAAUACCGCGCUUGAAACCGUUUAAACGUUGUUUUAUUAUGUGCACUGGUCGCGGAAACUUAAAAACAUCCUAUAAAAAUAUAUAUUACACAAAAACGUAACGCUAAUAAAAUAAUAAGUAAUGUAUAGAUACUAACAAACAUACAUUUCCAAAACAUAAAAAUUAAACAACUAAACUUUUACUUUAAUUCAUUAAUAAAUUAUUUUAGUGUUCAACGCGACUCCCUUACCUCCUGUAGUAAGCAGAAAUCGGCAUUUCAAGAAGCAAAAAUAAAUAAAAAAAAACGUUGUUAGUUCUCAGAGCAAUUAAGGGACAAGUUACUUUAUUUCUUGCAUGUUAAGAUUGAUUUAACAUUAUACGUUCUUUAACAUAUGUCUUUUUAUUGGUAAAUGACAGGAGUAAUUUAUUGCUUUGCUAAUUUUAUGUGACGAAUGAUCGUAAGUAUUAGAUAAUGUUUUGGAGAUUUGUGACUUUAUUAGUAGGUGCCAUAGUUGUAAUUAGUUUGAACGUAAAAGUGUUUCAAAACUUUUUUCUCCGUUUGUUAGUAAACGAAUGUGUAUAUUCACGCGGACAGCUUUUGCUUUAAUUUUGUACGUGUCCCUUUAUCUAGUUACUAUUGUUGAUCGAAGUGUUUCAUUCAGAAAAAUUACCCUCCUUUUUGUACUGGCUUCUAUACAACACGGUUUCGCACAACACGGGACAUUGUACGAACGUAUCUACCGUGUUAUAAGAGGGUUGCCUGUAUUUGAAUUCAAUCCGAAUUCUCAAUUUAAAUUUUAUUUUAUUUUUUAUUCUUUAUUAGUGCCAGUCUAUUUCAAUUUUAAAUUCCAAAAAUCAGUAGACCACACUCCGUACAGAUUAGUCUUCAGCACUCGCCCUGUUAGUCGUGCGAAUCUGAUACGCGAACGUGAACAAAGAGUUGAAUACCUGUUAGUAGUCUGUGCCUGACCAGCCGCCACUGUGCCCGUUGUUUUAAAAGAACAUGCAAAAACGCAACAUGCAAUCGACAAAAACAUUACCAGACUCGGAAUCGCGUUGAAUUUCUACCACACUCAUUUCUACCAUGCCAUACUAGUAUUACAUUCAAACCCAAUGCUAUCCAUACGUACAAUGAAUUAUGAAAAGGAGAGGUAGUUGAGUAGUAGUAUAUUUAAUAUACUUAUAAUAAAAGUUUGUAAAGUGUAUCAAAUUGUUAUAAAUAGGUCGAAUUAUUUGGACGUUAAUGACUUUGAGAUGAUACUCUUGGGAAUUUUAGGAGGAAAUUUGAAAACUGAUAUUAAAAUUUUACGUGAGUUUUAUUUUUAUAUUUAAAUAAGGAAGUGUUUGAAAAGAUUGCAAAAAAACUUUUCUUAUCAUUACAUUGUGACGUAAAUUUUUUUUUAAUUACUAACAACACUCACAAAGUUUAACUAUCAAUCUAAAGUGCAAAAAAGCUACUCAGGUAGUGCUUAUCACAAAAUCCAAAAUCGCAAACUAUUCUAAUACUCAGAACCCGUAUUGAGAAACCGUUAGGACUAUUUCACUACUAUGUUUCAGCAAGUUUCUUAUACAAUAUCAUAUAUACUUUAUUGCUAAAUAUAUAUAUAUAUUUAUUUUAACGUCCGUCCAAUAACAAUUCGAAUACUGCGUGCUUAGUGCGAGUUUUUUAACGUUCUCGAUAACGUGAAAGUUUUUUUUAUUUUUUUUAUUGUCGUACAGGCAGAUGAGCAUACACCCACCUGAUGGUGAGUGAUUACCAUCGCUGAUGGACGUCAGCAAUGCCAGAGGCAGAGCCGAGCUGCUGCCUACCGUUUACUACUCUCCACAAGCCUCGUUUGAAGAAGGACAUGCCAUAGCGCUCGGGAAACACCGUGGAGGGGAGCUCAUUCCAUAGUCGGAUGGUACGUGGCAAAAAAGAUCUCUGGAAACGCACUGUGGAUGAACGCAGUGGCUUAGUAUGGAUGAACUCUACUCCGGUGACGGACGGUGCGAUGGUAAAAACGAGACGAUGUUAUCUCAAAUUUGUAUGGAAUUUGAACAGCGCCCCUAGCGGCAAACAUAGACAAACGUUCCAACUCCAUAAAAAUUUGAGUUAACUUUUACGCUAUCGAGAACGUUAAAAAACUCGCACCAAGCACACUGUACAACGUUACAACAUUGUAAAUGGUCUAGUUUCGAAAUACGGGUUCCUAAAGCUAAGAACACACAACAUGAACGUUGGCAUCGAACCUUCCUCUCCUACUUCGCGAGUGUAGUCUGGACCUGCCCGUGUGAAGCGUGACAUAGGAACGAGACAGAAAAGCAACAUUUACACGUGUUAAAGCGAAACGAAGCUAUCACAAAAAGAAGUUUCACUAACUUAAUGUAAACACACAACAUACAUAGAAAGUAGAAGAUUAAAAAAAAAAAAAAAAAACAAA